rnacentral:rRNA from 1 species
ARGGAGCUUCGGUUCCUGAGUAAAGUGGCGAACGGGUGCGUAACACGUGAGUAAUCUACCCUAGACACUGGGAUAACUUUCCGAAAGGGAGGCUAAUACCGGAUAGGUCCUUGUAACAGCAGUUAUGAGGGGAAAGCAGGCCUCUGGUUCACGCUUGUAGUUUAGGAUGAGCUUGCGGCCCAUUAGCUAGUUGGUAGGGUAAGAGCCUACCAAGGCGACGAUGGGUAGCUGGUCUGAGAGGAUGAUCAGCCACACUGGCACUGAGACACGGGCCAGACUCCUACGGGAGGCAGCAGUGGGGAAUUUUGCGCAAUGGGCGAAAGCCUGACGCAGUAACGCCGCGUGGAGGAUGAAGGCCUUCGGGUUGUAAACUCCUGUCAGGAGGAACGACGGGAUUAGGAUGAAGAAUCUUAGACUUCAGACGGUACCUCCAAAGGAAGCCCCGGCUAAUUCCGUGCCAGCAGCCGCGGUAAU